UGACCUUUCCCAUUUCCCCUCCCCAUUUCCCCAACCCCGUUAAAAUUUUAGACAGAAAUCCCUAACCCCUUCCCUUCCCUCCUCCCUUUUUUUCCCCAAAUUGAAAACCCACCUACAGUCCCCACCGAUCCACCAUCCCACCUCCGGUCUCCGGUCCUCCAGCACUCCACCUCCACUCCACGACACUAGGUGGCAUUGUUGUUCUCUUCACUUCGAUUCUUCUGCAACUUCCGAGUCCGACCCAAACCCUUCAAAUCAACAAGUUCAAGCCUUCAAGGUAACUUCUUUCUAUUCUUCUUCACUUUAGUUUUCAUUUUAAUCAUGUAUUUAAGACUUAAGAGAAGGUUGCUCUUUAUUGCUGAGUUUAGUGACGGUGACAUGCUUCGAUUUUUAAUAUACUGUUGCCAUGUUCUCUUUGAACUUUGAAGUUUGAAGUCAUUUGCUAGUGCUUUUCUGUAAAAAUUGUCUAGAUGGGCUUGAUCAUUUUCCAGAUUUUGGCAUGUCAUUUUCCAGAUUUUAUUUUAUUUCCAGAAAAACUGUUUAAAGUUUAAAUAAAAAUUAUUAAGUAUAUAUUUUUAAAAUGAUUGUACUGUGGCGGAAUUUGAAUUUGAAUUUGAAUUUAUUGAUGUAAAAUUAAAAUAUGAAUUACGAUGUUAGGUUUACAUGUAUGAGUAGUAAAUACUUCUUGUCAUUCGUUUUCUUGGUCAACAAACGGGAAUUUGAUCUUAAAGAUCCUUAAGAUUAAAAUACGAAUGAAGUUAGGUUUACAUGGUCAUGUUUUUGCAAAGUCAAAAUUUCAUCUGCUUUUCUUUUUGGUUUGAUCUGUUUUUUGGUUGGUGAGAAAGUGAAUGAAAAGUUGCUGAAAAUGAAUUGAAUUGAAUUUGUUGGUUGAUGUAAAAUGAAUUGAAAAUGAACUGUGGCGGGGUUUUGUUUUUCGUAGAGUUUCGGUUAGUAAAAAUACAUUUUGUAAGCUCAUGGGAUCAAUAUCUAUAAUUAAUAUUAUGUAUAAUAUUGAUAUUUCUUGUGAAUUUACAGAUCAUAUCUCUAUUGGUCGAGGUAUUCCUUAAAUUUAGUGAACCUAAUGAGCUUUCGAACACUGUUUUAAAUUCUCUUAGUACAACAGUGUUUUAAAUUCUCUAAUAAGUAGCCUAUCUACAUUUAUAUCCAUAUGUUAUUUCUUCUUGUAUGAAAACAAACCAAGCAAGUUUUAAUGAACAUAAGAGAAAUAGGACUUUGAGGACGAUGACGACGAUGAGGAUGAUGAUGUUUCUUCGGUAGCUUUUUAAGAUACUUUCCUUCUAAAUAUGUUGAUGGACAAUUUAUAUUUUGUUAUGAAAUUAAAUAUGUUGAUGGAUUAAUGUAUGAAUAUUAUGGUUUGUUGCUUAAUUUUCCAAAGUCAAUUUGGACUUUGAAGGUACGUGUACUUGUGGGGUUUAACUUAUGUUUUCUUACCUCAAAGAUAGUUUGAAUCAAAAUUAGAGAUUUAGUAAAUGAUAAAACUCAAAUUGAUUUAAUAUGAUUUAAAAGCAAUGGUAUUAUGCAUAGAUAAUAUUUAAAUUAAUUAUGUUAUUAUGUUAUUAAUUUAAAUUAAUUAAAUUUGACAGUUUUUUGCAGCUUAAAACUUAAAAGCAAUAACAGAAUAUUUAAAUUAAUUAUGUUAUUAUGCAAUAUGCAUAGAAUAUUUGUGACAUUUUUUGACAGUUUUGGUAUUAUUUGACAGUUUUUUGCAGCUUAAAACUUAAAAGCAAUAGCAGUGCUUAUUGCCCAAUGAUAAUAUGCUGCUAGUUCUUAUUACUUGUAUAAUCAUUUUUAUUUUUAUUCUCUUUUUUUAAGAAUUGAUUGUUACCUAAAUGUCACAAAUGUGUAAUUAUAGACAAUUAAAUAACAUUUAAAUUCAAUUAGUUGGUAAUUUUUUAAACUUACAGUGUAUUAGUUUAGUGUAAUACUACAUCAAUUCUAACAUAAAGUUUAUAGAUAACAUGAUGAAAGCUAUUAUUUAAAAAAAUUUUCAUUAUAUACAAAAAAAAAUAAUUUGAUAUUUGAUAUAACUUUAAUAAAAAUUAGUUUUAACUUUUAAGUAAAAAAAAACGGGCCGAGCCGGGCCGGGCCCGGGCUUCAUAUUUUUUCCAUGAGCUGGGCCUAGGCUACAUCUCAGGCCAUAUUUUGGGCCGGGCCCGGGCCCAGGCCUAGUAAGUGGGCCAAAAUUUUUUUGGGCCUAGCCCAUGAGCACCUCUAGUCACAACCUAGGCGUGGCAUGUGGUGAAAAAUGAUUAAAAAUAAAAAUCAAUAAAAGUUAUAAAAUUAUUAUAAAAUUUUAAUAAAGAAUAUUUAGAAGUUAUUAAAAAUUAGAAAAAAAAUUAUAAAUUUGUAAAAUUUUAUAAAAAUCAUAAAAUAUUAUAAAAUAUAUAGAAAUGUAGAAAAAAAUUAUAAUUUUUAUAAAGUCGUAAGAAAAUUAUAAAAAAUGUAAAGAAAUAUAAAAUUCAUAAAAAAUUAUAAAAUUUAUUGUAUCCCAUUAUCAUGUCUCUUCAGUACGCCCAAGUCGAUCAUAAUCAACCCAAUGUUUCCUUGAUUUGCUUGCCUUUCUCUCUUACUUACAUUCAAUCUUUUCUUGCUAGUUUUGUUUAUCAAACCAAUUUCUACCUAAACUUCAGAAAUAUUAGAAAAAGUGGGCAUCCUUGUAGUUAUUGUUGCAUUUUGUCACGCCAUAGUAUACAAAAAAAUUUGAUUCCUUGUGUUGCUUCAUUGUCAAUGUUUGUAAUAAUGUAUAAUGUACGUGUGUACCCAAAAAUUAUCUGAUUUCAUAUGUUUGUAAUUAUUUAUAUUGAAUAUGUAUGUAACACUCCCCAUAGAAGCAACUCCCACAGCAGUUUUGGUGCAAAAAACUUCAUCUACUUCUAUCAAUUCAUUCACUGGUAUAGCUCUUUCAACUAUUUGAUUUUAUAAUAUUUUUUACAAUUUUAUUUUUUUACUAUUUUAUAAAAAAAUAAUUUUUCUAUAAUACUAUAUAUUUUAUAAUUUUUAUGAUUUUUAUAAAAAAAAUUCAAUUUUUUUAUAAUUUAUUUAUGAUUUUUUUAUAAUUUUUGUGAUUUUUAUAAAUUUUUUUAUUUUAUAAUAAAUUUUAAAUAUUUUUUCUACAAAUUUUUUAUAUUUUUAAUAUAUUUCCAUAAUUUUUUAUAAAUUUUUAAUAAUUUUUUAUAACUUUAUUGAUUUUUAUUUUUUUAUCAUUUUUCAACACAUGUUGCGACACGUGAUGGCUUUAAUUGAAAAAAUUUUGGGGCCGUUAACUUUAACGGUCAAUAGUUGAAGUUAACGAUGAAAGGGCCUUUUUGAUACAUUUUGACAAUUCAAGUAUCCAAUUGAGUGGAGAAAAAACAGAGACUUAAUUGCUUUUCUUGAAAAAGUUCAAGGGCCUUUUACACCCUUAAGCCAAAAAUAUUUUAUUCUUAAUCUUAACGUAUACAGGUAGUUAAUGAAUAAUAGAUUGAAUCUUGAGAUUCUUUGUUUUGAUAUUUUAUCUGAUAUGUUAAAAAUUUGUAUAUCUUGUUUGGAUAUAUAUAUUUAAGGAAUUGAACACAUAUUAUAUUUCUAGAUAAUGUCUUAUCUUGGUUUUGUUAUGAUGUAUAAUGCCAAAAAUAGCCUGUAAUGGCCUAAAUUCAAGGUUAUUGGAAUAGUGGUUUCGUAACCAUAAAUCCGAUUUAAAGAGAAAUUUAUUUUAAUUUUUGCAUGAAUAUUGAUAUGAUAGGAAAAUCAUAUAAAAAUAUCGGUAGAAAAAUUUUACCGAUUUAUUGGUUAGUUAGAAAAAAAAUUUUAAAAAUUGGGUAAAAAAAUAUUGAGACCUCGAUCUAGUAAAACCAAGCCAAAAAUAUUUUUAUAAAUAUUUAUGAAGUGUUAGUAAUAUGGUAUUAAAUUUCGUUAGAAAAUUUUUACAUUGGGUAGUUUAAUUAAGUAAAACGGACUCAAUUAUGAAAAGGGUGUCUAAAGUUACUAGCAGAAUUCAACUCGCUCAAUUGUUAAAUUAGGAGGGACAUAAACUUGCAAAUAAAGCCCAAAAGGAGAUAUUUUGGGCAGCAUAAGCGGAGAAAAAUCAAGGAAGAAUUGGUGGAAAUAAGGGUAAAAUGGGAAAUAACAAAUGUACUAAAAUAAAAAUGGGUACUAACUUGUAAUAUCGAGAAUUCUUCUUCAUAUUUUAUUUCUUCAUUUCAUCAUCCAAAAGCUUACUAGUGUUAUUCAAGCUGGUAUUCAAUAAUUUUUGCACCAAGUGAGUUAAUCCUUGCCUUUUUCUUGUAAUUUUUGUGUUUCUAAGACUUUUACAACUAGGUCCUAUUACUAAAUUCAUUAGUUUUUGAUUUCAUGGAUGAAAUUGAAAGUCACUAUGGUUGAGUGUUGUAAUUUUUUGAUGAAAUAGCAUGAAAUUUAAGCUUUAAUUGGCUUAUGAGAUUAUUUUAUUAGGUAAUUUCAAUAGAAAUUGACUUGUAGGACCUAAUUGUGAAAAAGUUUGGAAUUAAAGUCUAGUGCUAAAAUUCUGAUUUCCAAAGGUUAUAAAGUAGUUUAAAAUGAUAGAAUAAAGUGUUAAUUGAGAAAAAUAAGCUCAAUUGAGAGGUUAAUUGAGCAGGGAUGAAAUUAUCAUUUAUUGAAAGCUUAGGAGAAAAAUGGUAAUUAACAUCAUGCACUAAAACAGUUUUGGACAGCAGCAGUAGGUUAACUUUAAAAAAUCACCAUAAAUUGUAGAGAUUGAAUUAGAGGAUAAAUAAAAUAUGAAAUUAAAUCUUAUUGAGUCUAGUUUCUUAUAGAAGAAACGGUGUAAGCAAUGGAGUUAUAAAUCAUAAGAUAUAAUAGGUUUUGUGAGACAAGGUUAGAAUGAUUUUGAGUUCCCCUGUUCUGAAUCUGGAAAAUUGUUAAAAAUUGUAAAAAAAAUAAUUAGGGGCUUAAAUUUAUAUGUUUAAAAUCCUUAAUGAGUCUAUUUUCAAAAGAAACAAACAAGAACAUCAUCUGAAUUCUGUACAAUGAGAUAAUUAAUUUUUAGUGAAGAGGGGUUGGGACUGUCGAACAGUGAAACAGGGAAAACUUUAAGGAAUAAACUGUACUUAUUGACUAAACCAAAAAUUAUGAAAAUUUUAUGGUAAGAAGAUAUGUGAGUCUAGUUUUGGGAAAAAUUAGCGGAUCUUAAUUUGGAGUUCCUUAUCUCAAUAUAUAAAUAUUUUAGUGACUAUGACUCAAGGAAAUAGCUCUGAAUGAACUAUAAAUGAUAAUGGAAUUAUAGAGAAUGUUACAAAUGAACAUGAAAUGUAUUAAAUUAAUAAUUAAAUUUAUUUAUUUAGAUCCGAAAAAUUCAAAUAUGAAGCUAGAUCGAGGAAAAGAAAAAGUUCGGGAUUAGUAGAUUUUUGCAUACGAACAAGUAUCGAGGUAAGUUCAUGUAAUUUGAAUUAUAUUCUUAAAUACUUGAAAUGUAUGUUAUUGAUGUGAAUAUAAUUUGAAUGUUCACUGUAUGUAAAUUGAUGAAACAUUGAUAUAUUUGAUAAAAAGGGGUAGAAAUCCCAGUUGAAUAGAAGGAAAAUUCGAUGGAUUUCUGAAAAGGAAUUGACGGUAAAAAGGAUCUAGCCCAGACGGGUGAUCCUAUCCUGAUAUAGUCCUCCCGAAGAAUAUGUGGAAAAUGGAUUUAGCCCAGACGGGUAAUCCAAAUUAGGGUCUGAAUUUAGCCUGGACUCGUAAUUCAGAUCCUAGCUCAUUAGAGUAAUUGUCAUUGCAGGGGAUUAAGCCUGGAUUGGUAACCCCGACAAUACUCUAUGAGUUUAUAUUACAGGAGAUUUAGCCUGGACUGGUAAUCCCGCUGUAAGGAUGAUGUUCGCAGGAGUGUGCUCUCUGAAAUGAAAAUAUGCGCACAUGAAUAUGAAUUGACGGACCCAGAUUUGUACACUAAAGUGUACUCCUGAAAAAUCCAUCGAAAUUCUGAGAAAUUCAACGGGAUAAAUAUGGAAAAAUAACAAGGGAAUGGGAAUCAUGGUAUUGAUGAGCUCAUCAAUCAUGGCAUAUAUUAUUGAUACAUGGAAAUUAUUGGGCUAACUUGAAUGUUGAGUUGUGCAUGUUAGGAAAAUAAUGCAUUGAAUAGAUGUAUGAAUGUUUAUUGCAUUAUAUUGAAUAUAUUAGGUAAGUAUAAUUUUUGUUACAUGAGUUUACUAGGCAUAAAGUGCUUACCUUAUUUUAUUUUCCCCUUUUUGGUAGUGUUAAGAGCUCGGAGGUCAAAUUCGGUCGGAGACGCAUCACACUAUCAAUCUCAAGAUUUCGAUAUAUAAAGAAACUUUAUUUUGAAAAUUAAUGGCAUGUAUAAGCUAACAAAGUAAAUGUUAAUAUGAAAUGAAUGUAAUGUUAGCCAUUGGUAUGGCUAACAAAUUUUGGUUUUGGUAUGUGAUGAUGUUAUCUUAUGGAUAUGUUUGAAUCUAUCUUGAAAAUAUGUUGAAGUGGAUUGUUGGUUUGGAUUGGUCUUGGUUUAAAAUUACAGGGAAGGUUAGAUAUUUAUAAAGGGGUUAUAUUGAGUCCAUAAAAAAAAACUUUGAGAUUCUGUGAAAAAUUUC
rnacentral:lncRNA from 1 species